GAUAAACGCCGGCGGCGUGCCUAAUACAUGCAAGUCGAACGGGAGCAGCAAUGCUCCAGUGGCGUACGGGUGAGUAACACGUUGGUAACCUGCCCCGGAGACCGGAAUACCAGGAGGAAACCCCUGCUAAUGCCGGAUGAUGCCGGAAGGGCGCAAGCCUUUCCGGCCAAAGGCGGCCUCUAAAGCCGCGCCCCGGGAUGGACCUGCGUCGCAUUAGCUAGUUGGCGGGAUAGAGGCCCACCAAGGCUGGGAUGCGUAGCCGAGCCGAGAGGCUGAUCGGCCACAUUGGGACUGAGACACGGCCCAG
rnacentral:rRNA from 1 species